rnacentral:miRNA from 1 species
AGUGAUAAAGUGGCUGUAGGGACACGCGCGGUAAGACCCCCCGCCCCAGAUAGUAUUUGCCAAUUGAGUUUGGACAAAUGGAGGCGCAUCCUCUUACAGCACACACACACACACACACACACACACACACACACACACACACACACACACACACACACACACACACACACACACACGCGACCUCGUCACGGAGUACGGCCAUGUCGCCGAGGCGUACGGCGCGGCACUACCAUGCACACCAUGCACCCGCGACACGUCGCGGCGCGUGUUCAAGCUAUCAGGGGAUAACUGGGUUCUGGGGGGUGGGGGGCUCUUCACGAACAGCCGACGCGGCCACUGCGGCCGCGCGCG